CUAAUACAUGCAAGUCGAACGCUUUGUGGUUCAACUGAUUUGAAGAGCUUGCUCAGAUAUGACGAUGGACAUUGCAAAGAGUGGCGAACGGGUGAGUAACACGUGGGAAACCUACCUCUUAGCAGGGGAUAACAUUUGGAAACAGAUGCUAAUACCGUAUAACAAUGACAACCGCAUGGUUGUUAUUUAAAAGAUGGUUCUGCUAUCACUAAGAGAUGGUCCCGCGGUGCAUUAGCUAGUUGGUAAGGUAAUGGCUUACCAAGGCGAUGAUGCAUAGCCGAGUUGAGAGACUGAUCGGCCACAAUGGGACUGAGACACGGCCCAUACUCCUACGGGAGGCAGCAGUAGGGAAUCUUCCACAAUGGGCGAAAGCCUGAUGGAGCAACGCCGCGUGUGUGAUGAAGGGUUUCGGCUCGUAAAACACUGUUGUAAGAGAAGAAUGACAUUGAGAGUAACUGUUCAAUGUGUGACGGUAUCUUACCAGAAAGGAACGGCUAAAUACGUGCCAGCAGCCGCGGUAAUACGUAUGUUCCAAGCGUUAUCCGGAUUUAUUGGGCGUAAAGCGAGCGCAGACGGUUAUUUAAGUCUGAAGUGAAAGCCCUCAGCUCAACUGAGGAAUUGCUUUGGAAACUGGAUGACUUGAGUGCAGUAGAGGAAAGUGGAACUCCAUGUGUAGCGGUGAAAUGCGUAGAUAUAUGGAAGAACACCAGUGGCGAAGGCGGCUUUCUGGACUGUAACUGACGUUGAGGCUCGAAAGUGUGGGUAGCAAACAGGAUUAGAUACCCUGGUAGUCCACACCGUAAACGAUGAGUGCUAGGUGUUUGAGGGUUUCCGCCCUUAAGUGCCGCAGCUAACGCAUAAGCA
rnacentral:rRNA from 1 species